UUUAGAAGUAGCCACUCUGAAUCGUUUUUCAAGACAAAUUAAAAAAAACACAAUAUUACCAUUUCUCAAAGCCUGGCACUUGCCUGGUAUACAGCAGGCCAAUGGUAGCAGUGAAAUAAGGGGUCAGCACCCUGGCCAUGGUGCGGAAGCCACCUCGGAUGAGAGAGGUUUGCAACAAUCUGGAGGAGAGAUGAAGAGGCAACAGCAAGAUAGCAGAGAAAAAAUGCUUCCGACGUGAGUCAGAGCAAUAACAAUUCAAUAAUAACAAUACUGGAACUGGACAUUUAUCAAGUGUUUGCCAUAUGCCAUGCUUUACACGCAUUCUCUACUGUUAUUUCCAUUUUACUCUUAAGAAAGCUGAAAUUUAAGUACUUGCCCAAGGUCACAUGGCUCCUAAGUGGUAAGUCGACUGUUCUGAGUGCAGAAGAAGACUCUGAGCAAAGGAUCUGGGUGUCAAUUCAUUUGCAAGGUGACUCCAUGAAAUAACCAGUAAAGAUGAGAAACAUGAAAUACAGAAUGGAAAGAAGAUAAACAUUGAGUUAUCCAGCUACUUACCAUGAUGAGCAAUUGGGGCUCUGUCUUGCUGGGGAACUCUCGGAGAUAGAGCAGAACACUCUUAAGAGUUACUAUUCCAUCCUAGAGGCAAGAACACUACGGUGUUCAUAUAUAGAUCCCUUAUCUGCCAUUGGUUGAUGCUGCUUCAGGGACAUUAACCCUCCACCCUUCCUGCUUGUCCUGUGCUCAGGCUGCUCAUGCUCCACAGGUGCUUGCGGUAAGCAGCUCUCAGCACCAGAGAACUAAGGUCACCAUCAGCAUCUGCUACAAUGAUCCCACAUCCAGUUUGCCUGGGACAGUCUCAGUUUAUGUCUAUUGCCUGGGAAUAAUUAUUAAUUUCCCUUUUACUCUCAGAAGUGUCCUGCUUUGGAUAAUUUAUAUGGCCACUCCUGUAAGAAAAGGAACAGAUUUUCAAAUCCUACUUCAUGUGGUUCCAGAAUCUCUGCUUUUUGCCUCUUUCUCAUCCUCUGUGAGUGCAAUUGUGGCUUUCCUCAUCAGGCGCUGGGCAGUAGCCCUGGGUGAGGUAGGAGGAUGUGGGUCCUGGACGAUAAACGGCUGCUCCCCAGAACCUAGAGCACUUCCGCAGCAGGGAGAGAAUUUCACAGCUCAUUGACUGCUCUGACUCCUAAUCUACACCGAGGAAACAAUGUUGCAGCUCAUCAAAUGCAAUCAGCUGCUAAUUGAAAGGAAAUGGAAUUUUACAAUUACAGGCCACCUUUCAGUGCUCAGGAUUUCUAAGCACUUCUCCCCACCUUCCUUUGCCAGCUCAGCACUGGCAGGAGCACUUGACAACCUGCUAGAGACUUCCCUAAAAGCUGCAUUUAGGACCUGGCCCGUUCUCCCCAGCUCCAGAGCAGCAGCAAAGGGAAGCAGCGUCCUCGCCAAUACCUGGGCUGUCCUUCAAGGCUCAGUGCAAGGAAAAACACCUGGGUUGGACAUCAGGUAGUGCUGACUUCCAGACCACUGAGGUCACCUGCAUAAGCGAGUCUGGCAACAAAUAAUCGUCUUCCAGAAAAUGACCAGAAACUCAGCCUGCUUUUUGUCAUUUCACCAGCCCCACCAUCUUUCCUUUAUUCUAGAGCUCCUGGCACACUUACAUGAAUCUCUUGAAAGAAGAGAAAUGAGAGCAUUCAUUCCAUACUAAUACAAUUGUGCCCUAUGGAAAGGCUUUUUGCUGGCAGACAUAGUAGACGGACCAUUUCCCAACUUCUUUUUCUUUGCCACCUUCCAGCCAAAGGUGUCCAUAUGACACAGCUCUGGACAGGAUAAUUGGAAGUCUGUUGUGGGAUUUCUGAGAAAGCUUUUGAUUUUCUGACAGAGACAUUUUUGCUUCCCCUUACCACUUCCUACUGGAUUACAGAUGUGAUGGAAAGAGCUGCAGCAGCCAUAAUACAACCAUAAAGGAGAGGAGAAGAGAAUUGCAAAGGCAUCAACCCACAUUGAAUUGAACUGCUAAGUUAACACUAGCAGUUACUUGCCUCCAGAUAUCUUGGUGUGUGAGAACAUUAAAUCUGUAUGUGUCUAAAUCAGUAUGGGUGAACAUUUCUGUCACUAAAGUCAAAAGCAUCCCUGAAACAGUGCAUGAUUCCAUAUGACCCUUACCACAACCCUGGUAAAUAGGUAUAAUUAUCCUUCAUUUAAACAUGACGAAAUUAAAGUUGGGA
rnacentral:lncRNA from 1 species